AUGAAAGCUGAACCUAAAACUGGCCAUGUUCAAAUUCCCAGAGCCCAACAAACUGGAGUGUGGGGGCUUAAGGCAGAACAGAGGGGCAAAACCGGAACCUCUUCUCAAAAAGAAGGUCCAUGUGGCCCGCAAAGUCUGCACGAAGCAGCCAUGCAAGUGGAGUAUUGGAUACGGACAGAUUGCAAGUUACAGCCAAAGGCGGUAUGA
rnacentral:lncRNA from 1 species